UACGAAGGGGGCUAGCGUUGCUCGGAAUCACUGGGCGUAAAGGGUGCGUAGGCGGCUAUUUAAGUCAGAUGUGAAAUCCUGGAGCUCAACUCCAGAACUGCCUUUGAUACUGAGUAUCUUGAGUACGGGAGAGGUGAGUGGAACUGCGAGUGUAGAGGUGAAAUUCGUAGAUAUUCGCAAGAACACCAGUGGCGAAGGCGGCUCACUGGCCCGUUACUGACGCUGAGGCACGAAAGCGUGGGGAGCAAACAGG
rnacentral:rRNA from 1 species